rnacentral:lncRNA from 1 species
CCGGCUCAAAAGAACGAUUCGUUCAAGAAACUAACAUCACUAUUCUCAUUACAUAAAACAAAAAUGCAGCACUUUAGGACACAAAGAACAAAAAAGAGCUUGGGAAUACGAAAUAUUUAAUGUAACAAUGGAAACCAAACCUGUGUUGUUUGGCAUAUGGAGGUCUUAAGUUCACCACAGGUGCACGUGCUGCGUCUGAGCCACUACUGCAGAUUUUCCCUGUGAAAACAUUAUCGGCCGUCUCGCCUGUUCUGUUGACUCGCGGGGAGCGGCAGUGGUCAAAGGUGUGGUUAACGGCUUAGCUCGUCAUCCCAAGCGCUUGGUCACACACUCCUCAAAGUGGCAUCGCCUGAAGGGCACUGAUAACACACAUUCUGCACUUCUAUUGGUUGAUGUCCAGAAAACCAGCAAUCUCACAUGGAAGAAUCUGUACAUUAGAGGAAAGGAGCUGUGCUUCUUCGCCCUCAACUAGCCAAGCAGAACAACUGGGGGUUACGACGGACUGCGAAUGGUGCCCAUGGAUGGAUUCCAAAGGGGUUGAUGCCGCAACACUGAUAAAUUCUCCACCUAAAUCCAAUUAAUUCUAUAGAUAUUGCGUGGAUUUUUAUUCUAUCAGUGCUUUUUCUUUCUUACAUGUGAGCAUAUGACUGGCACGGGGCAAGGGCGUGAACCAAAGCAUUGGUUUAUAGUGUGAAAAACAGUUAAGCAGAAGGCUGGCUUCCUCUAACCUCUGUUUGUUGGUCCUGUGGAGAGAAGCCUGGCCGUAGGGGACGCUAGCUGUGGAAAUGGAUUAUGAUCACUACAGAGAGUCUGUGAUACGGUGAAUGUGAUGAAUGAGGUUUGGUAGAGCAGCCAGUGCCAUACUCCUCAGUCUAAAAACAGUAGCGACUUCUC